rnacentral:lncRNA from 1 species
UGUUCUGCUUCUAUUUGCUAGUGGUUUUUCACUUUCGCUUUGAAAUAUUCAUCCAGUUCGCUGGAUGGCUGGCUACUUUUGCAGGAAUAUCAACACUUUUCGGGUACGAGAGUGGUUCUUGAUUUUGCUGAAACGCCGUCAAACCUAUUUGAGUGAGAAGAAUGCUGACUCUUUGAUCCAUACUAUUCAUCAGUGAUACUAAGACAAAUGUUUGAUGAACACCCAAUAAUCCUUGCUGAAACGCCGUCAAACCUAUUUGAGUGAGAAGAAUGCUGACUCUUUGAUCCAUACUAUUCAUCAGUGAUAUGAAGACAAAUGUUUGAUGAACACUGCCCAUUGGAUUAUCUGCUGUUUGUUUACCUUUUUGUUUAUGGCACGAAAUGGAUUCUUUUGAUCCUAGUUUGUCUGGUUUAAGCACCACUAGUAUGCAAUGUACAUGCUAUAUACUAUGUUGCUUGGACUCUCCGAAAAUAUCGCCGGGUGCGUGUCGGAUCCUUCAAAAGUGUGCAUUUUUGGAGAAUCCGACACGGGUGCGGCAGCAUUUUGGAGAGUCCACGCAACAUAGGCUAUAUAUUCUAUGUGCAGGGUGAAUGCUUCAUGCGCAUGUUGAUGCUGUCGUAUCAGUUAUUAACUAGAGUACUGGCAAUGU